GGAAGAUACCGCCGAAUGGACGGCAAGCGGUCUUGAAAACCGUGGUACGGCUGACGCUGUAGGGGUUAGAGUCCUCUAUCUUCCU
rnacentral:tRNA from 1 species